rnacentral:rRNA from 1 species
GAUGAACGCUGGCGGCGUGCCUAACACAUGCAAGUCGAACGGAGUUUAUAUUAUGAAGUUUUCGGAUGGAAUGAUAUAAACUUAGUGGCGGACGGGUGAGUAACGCGUGGGUAACCUGCCUCAUACAGGGGGAUAACAGUUGGAAACGACUGCUAACACCGCAUAAGCAUACAGUAUCGCAUGAUACAGUGUGAAAAUAUUUAUAGGUAUGAGAUGGGCCCGCGUCUGAUUAGCUAGUUGGUGAGGUAAAGGCUCACCAAGGCGACGAUCAGUAGCCGGCUUGAGAGAGUGACCGGCCACAUUGGGACUGAGACACGGCCCAAACUCCUACGGGAGGCAGCAGUGGGGAAUAUUGCACAAUGGGGGAAACCCUGAUGCAGCGACGCCGCGUGAGUGAAGAAGUAUUUCGGUAUGUAAAGCUCUAUCAGCAGGGAAGAAAAUGACGGUACCUGACUAAGAAGCCCCGGCUAACUACGUGCCAGCAGCCG